rnacentral:rRNA from 1 species
AUGGUGUGGCGAUUAACCGGCGUGUAUGGGGACUCUGUAGCGGGGAGGAAAUCUGAAACUUGGAGGAUGAUGAGGAUUCUUGGGCAGCAACACCAGACGGGGAGACCAUGGCUUUGCAUGGGAGAUUUCAAUGAGAUCCUCACAUGCGAUGAGAAGUGUGGGGGAGCGGUGGGGCCUCAAACAUGCAUGGACCGAUUCAGGGAGGCGUUGGAAGGCUGUAAGUUAUCGGACAUUGGUUACAUGGGUGAUAAAUUCACAUGGCGCAACCACAGCAAGGAGUUGGUUUCAUAUAUUUGUGAGAGACUCGACCGGGCGACUGCGAAUAUGCAAUGGUGUGAGGCGGUCCCGGACUUUUCGGUGAUGAAUGGAAAUCCGAGGCAUUCGGAUCACCGGUCGGUGAUUAUAUGUACGGAAGGGGGCGGACGCAGAGUGCAUAGUGGCGACAGAAGCUUUCGGUUUGAGGCAUGGUGGCUACAGGAGGAGGGGUGCAGAGAGGUGGUGAAGGAUGCUUGGGAGGGGGCGAAGGCAACGGGAGGAGGGGUAAGCCAAGGAAUGCAGGCCAUUGCAGGAUCUAUGAGGAGGUGGCAGAAGGAAGUGGUUGGGGACCUAGAGGAGAGGCUGAGGAAGGCACGGAAUGAGCUUGAAUUUUGCAUGCGUGCCCCGGUUAGCGAAGGGAAAAUCAAAGAAGAAGCAGCCUUGCGAUGUGUGGUAGAGGAUCUGGAAGAGAAGAAGAAUACGAAGGCAAAAUAG